rnacentral:rRNA from 1 species
AGAGUUUGAUCCUGGCUCAGGAUGAACGCUAGCUAUAGGCUUAACACAUGCAAGUCGAGGGGAAACGGCAUUAUGUGCUUGCACAUUUUGGACGUCGACCGGCGCACGGGUGAGUAUCGCGUAUCCAACCUUCCCUCCACUCGGGGAUACCCCGUUGAAAGACGGCCUAAUACCCGAUGUUGUCCACAUAUGGCAUCUGACGUGGACCAAAGAUUCAUCGGUGGAGGAUGGGGAUGCGUCUGAUUAGCUUGUUGGUGCGGGUAACGGCCCACCAAGGCUACGAUCAGUAGGGGUUCUGAGAGGAAGGUCCCCCACAUUGGAACUGAGACACGGUCCAAACUCCUACGGGAGGCAGCAGUGAGGAAUAUUGGUCAAUGGACGUAAGUCUGAACCAGCCAAGUAGCGUGCAGGAUUGACGGCCCUAUGGGUUGUAAACUGCUUUUGUUGGGGAGUAAAGUGAGGCACGUGUGCCUUUUUGCAUUUACCCUUCGAAUAAGGACCGGCUAAUUCCGUGCCAGCAGCCGCGGUAAUACGGAAGGUCCAGGCGUUAUCCGGAUUUAUUGGGUUUAAAGGGAGUGUAGGCGGUCUGUUAAGCGUGUUGUGAAAUUUAGGUGCUCAACAUUUAACUUGCAGCGCGAACUGGCGGACUUGAGUGCACGCAACGUAUGCGGAAUUCAUGGUGUAGCGGUGAAAUGCUUAGAUAUCAUGACGAACUCCGAUUGCGAAGGCAGCGUACGGGAGUGUUACUGACGCUUAAGCUCGAAGGUGCGGGUAUCGAACAGGAUUAGAUACCCUGGUAGUCCGCACGGUAAACGAUGGAUGCCCGCUGUUGGUCUGAAUAGGUCAGCGGCCAAGCGAAAGCAUUAAGCAUCCCACCUGGGGAGUACGCCGGCAACGGUGAAACUCAAAGGAAUUGACGGGGGCCCG